rnacentral:tRNA from 1 species
UGGGCCGUUAGCUCAGUUGGUAGAGCAGCUGACUCUUAAUCAGCGGGUCGUAGGUUCGAAUCCUACACGGCUCAU